rnacentral:rRNA from 1 species
GAUGAACGCUGGCGGCGUGCCUAAUACAUGCAAGUCGAGCGAACGGACGAUAAGCUUGCUUCUCUGAUGUUAGCGGCGGACGGGUGAGUAACACGUGGAUAACCUACCUAUAAGACUGGGAUAACUUCGGGAAACCGGAGCUAAUACCGGAUGAUAUUUUGAACCGCAUGGUUCAAAAGUGAAAGACGGUCUUGCUGUCACUUAUAGAUGGAUCCGCGCUGCAUUAGCUAGUUGGUAAGGUAACGGCUUACCAAGGCAACGAUGCAUAGCCGACCUGAGAGGGUGAUCGGCCACACUGGAACUGAGACACGGUCCAGACUCCUACGGGAGGCAGCAGUAGGGAAUCUUCGGCAAUGGGCGAAAGCCUGACGGAGCAACGCCGCGUGAGUGAUGAAGGUCUUCGGAUCGUAAAGCUCUGUUAUUAGGGAAGAACAUAUGUGUAAGUAACUGUGCACAUCUUGACGGUACCUAAUCAGAAAGCAACGGCUAACUACGUG